rnacentral:piRNA from 1 species
UGGGAAAGAGUUAACUUGUGCCAUACUGCCU